UUCGUAGGAGACUAGUGUUAUUCAUCUUUAUUGGGUUUAAAGGGUAACUAGACGGUAAAUUUUACCUUAAAAGGGGGAUUUUUUUACUAGAGUUUUAUAAGAGAAGGAAGAACUUUUGGAGGAACGAUAAAAUUUUUUUUUGAUACUAAAAGGACUGAUGAAGGCGAAGGCGUCCUUCUAUGUAAAAACUGACGUUUGAGGUACGAAGGCUUGGGGAGCAAUAAGG
rnacentral:rRNA from 1 species